rnacentral:sRNA from 1 species
AGAGUAUAACAACUUAAACCGCAACUCGAUCUUAAAAGCCUAAGUAGUGUAUCCUUGUUAGAAGACACAAAGCCAAAGACUCAUAUGGACUUUGGCUACACAAUGAAAGCUUUGAGAAGCAAGAAGAAGGUUGGUUAGUGUUUUAGAGUGGAAUAUGACUUGUUGUCAUGUGUAUGAUUGAGUAUAACAACUUAAACCGCAACCCGAUCUUAAAAGCCUAAGUAGUGUUUCCUUAAUAGAAGAAACAAAGCCAAAGACUCAUAUGGAAUUUGGCUACACCAUGAAAGCUUUGAGAAGUAAGAAGAAGGUUGGUUAGUGUUUUGGAGUCGAAUAUUACUUGAUGUCAU